UUAUGCAACUUGUGCGUCAUUCAAAGCAGUUCUGUACAUUUAUACUGGAUAUUAAUUGGAGUCAUUUAGCUGUGCUGAUUCUGCUUGCCGUGUGUUUUGCAUCAGUGCUUCGUGACAUCGGCUGUAUUGCGUGUUUUCGCCGACGGCUUACUACCACAAUGGCGUGAUCUGCGUUCGCCGCCUUCGUGUCUCGGUGCGUCUUUGUAUACGUCGCACGUUCGGACAACACUUUUUCCGACGGCUGGACAUCCUUCUUGUACCUUGGCGCUAGCUGGAUGACGGGACCUCAUCAUGAUCAGUGUAUUGCUUGCCUAUGUCUACAAGAACCGUCACGCGUGGCCUGUGACAGCAAGCUUUUGUGGGCAGCAAGUGCUCUCGUACGAAGGCUGGCCUACUCUGGCAGCGGCGGCAAUCAUCUUCAAGAUUUAUCCAUGAUCACCUUUGCUGCUAUUUGUCACUCUUGUUGAUUACACUUUCUGCAUCUUUUCUAAUUUAUUAGGUAAUAAAGUAUGAGUAUGUGACA